rnacentral:rRNA from 1 species
AUUCCAGCUCCAAAAGCGUAUAUUAAAGUUGUUGCAGUUAAAACGCUCGUAGUCGGAUUUCGGGGCGAGCCUGCCGGUCUGCCGAUGGGUAUGCACUGGCAGGGUCGUCCUUCCUUCCGGAGACUGUCCCUACUCUUAACUGAGCGGGGUCGGGAGACGGAUCGUUUACUUUGAAAAAAUCAGAGUGUUUCAAGCAGGCAGCUCGCUCUUGCAUGGAUUAGCAUGGGAUAAUGAAAUAGGACUUUGGUGCUAUUUUGUUGGUUUCGAACACCGAAGUAAUGAUUAACAGGGACAGUCAGGGGCACUCGUAUUCCGCCGAGAGAGGUGAAAUUCUCAGACCAGCGGAAGACGAACCACUGCGAAAGCAUUUGCCAGGGAUGUUUUCAUUG